CGAUGGACUAGGCUGGGAGGUUAGUUCUCUCCUGUAACUGCAAAGGAACUUCAUGGCAGGGCCGAAGCUUGGGUGAGGCAUUGAUAUUGGCUGUUAGUCUUGGCUUGGACGACGACGUUUUGUCCUGCGGGGUUGAUAGUUUUGAGAAUUCCGCCAGGCUGGGAACAGAGCAGCGGUCAUCAUGAUUAUUGGCGCUCGCAGCCAACAAGGCUGAGAAAGAGUCAAGGGAGCUGACAGUUGAUAUUGUGCCGGGUCUCAAGCAUGUCCAUCA
rnacentral:SRP_RNA from 1 species